GAUGAACGCUGGCGGCGUGCCUAAUACAUGCAAGUCGAGCGAACAGACGAGGAGCUUGCUCCCCUGACGUUAGCGGCGGACGGGUGAGUAACACGUGGAUAACCUACCUAUAAGACUGGGAUAACUUCGGGAAACCGGAGCUAAUACCGGAUAAUAUAUUGAACCGCAUGGUUCAAUAGUGAAAGACGGUUUUGCUGUCACUUAUAGAUGGAUCCGCGCCGCAUUAGCUAGUUGGUAAGGUAACGGCUUACCAAGGCAACGAUGCGUAGCCGACCUGAGAGGGUGAUCGGCCACCCUGGAACUGAGACACGGUCCAGACUCCUACGGGAGGCAGCAGUAGGGAAUCUUACGCAAUGGGCGAAAGCCUGACGGAGCAACGCCGCGUGAGUGAUGAAGGUCUUCGGAUCGUAAAACUCUGUUAUUAGGGAAGAACAAAUGUGUAAGUAACUAUGCACGUCUUGACGGUACCUAAUCAGAAAGCCACGGCUAACUACGUG
rnacentral:rRNA from 1 species